rnacentral:rRNA from 1 species
CAGUCGCCGCGGGAAUACAGAGGGUGCGAGCGUUAAUCGGAUUUACUGGGCGUAAAGCGUGCGUAGGCGGCUUCUUAAGUCGGAUGUGAAAUCCCUGAGCUUAACUUAGGAAUUGCAUUCGAUACUGGGAAGCUAGAGUAUGGGAGAGGAUGGUAGAAUUCCAGGUGUAGCGGUGAAAUGCGUAGAGAUCUGGAGGAAUACCGAUGGCGAAGGCAGCCAUCUGGCCUAAUACUGACGCUGAGGUACGAAAGCAUGGGGAGCAAACAGGAUUAGAGAACCCCGGUAGUCCCUGUCUCUUAUA